UACGUAGGGUGCGAGCGUUACUCGGAAUCACUGGGCGUAAAGCGCGCGUAGGCGGCUUUUCAAGUCAGGGGUGAAAUCCCACGGCCCAACCGUGGAACUGCCUUUGAAACUGUAGAGCUUGAGUGUCGGAGAGGGUGGCGGAAUUCCAGGUGUAGGAGUGAAAUCCGUAGAUAUCUGGAGGAACACCGGUGGCGAAGGCGGCCACCUGGACGACAACUGACGCUGAGGUGCGAAAGCGUGGGUAGCAAACAGG
rnacentral:rRNA from 1 species